rnacentral:lncRNA from 1 species
UCCAUGACAUCUAUUUCCUGGAAUUACAGGAGAGUACACUUUAUGAUGAUAUUAUUGAUUCUAUUUUAUAGAGGACGGUGAAAUAGAUUUUAACUUUUGCCCUGAACUCAAGAAAUGUAGAUCAAUGACCAAGAUGUGGUGGACCCGGGUUGUGUAUAGGAUUUGAUCCAGUUGGUGUCGCUCUCAGUGAACGAUCGCCUAAAGUUAACUUCCUAUGAAAUUGCUCCUGCUUCAUAAGAUCAUACUCUCUUUUUUGAGGAUGUAGAAGGAUUUCUUCAGCAUUUUCCUUUUGAAAACUCACGGGAAAUAUGCACAAGACGAUCAGGAGAAAAGCUAAUACUUUUGCUGGUGUAGGAUAUUGGUCCAUUUUUAUAGAAAUAUAG